ncrna:unclassified sequences PhotoRC-II RNA
AUUCAUCUCAGUUUUUCCCGUUAACCGAGACCUAUGGGAAGUAAAAUUACGUCUCUCAUAUCCACCAGUGAAGGGAUUGGUGGAAAUAAAGUAUCGC